rfam:Cephalotus follicularis DNA, scaffold: scaffold2536, isolate: St1.
CAAAAGGUUCCUUUGGGAACCAAACUUCUUUUUAUUCUAGAGAAGU